rnacentral:rRNA from 1 species
GACAGAGGUCCCGAGCGUUAGGCGGAAUCACUGGGCUUAAAGCGUGUGUAGGCGGAUUUGUAAGUACCUUGUGAAAUCCCACAGCUUAACUGUGGAACUGCUUGGUAUACUGCUUAUCUUGGGCCACUUAGGGGUUACCGGAACAAACGGUGGAGCGGUGAAAUGCGUAGAUAUCGGAAGGAACGCCGGUGGCGAAAGCGACGUGCUGGACCUCUACUGACGCUGAGGCGCGAAAGCCAGGGGAGCAAACGGG